rnacentral:rRNA from 1 species
UUCUUACGGGGGGCAGCAGUGGGGAAUAUUGCACAAUGGGGGAAACCCUGAUGCAGCGACGCCGCGUGAGCGAAGAAGUAUUUCGGUAUGUAAAGCUCUAUCAGCAGGGAAGAAAAAUGACGGUACCUGAGUAAGAAGCCCCGGCUAACUACGUGCCAGCAGCCGCGGUAAUACGUAGGGGGCAAGCGUUAUCCGGAUUUACUGGGUGUAAAGGGAGCGUAGACGGUUGUGCAAGUCUGAAGUGAAAGCCCGCGGCUCAACUGCGGAACGGCUUUGGAAACUGGGUAACUGGAGUGCUGGAGAGG